AUCAUAGUUAAGUAGUUGGUUAAGAUUGACAGGGAAGCCAAUAGAGCUAAUGAUUACAGGGCAACCACUAAUUCGAUUAUAAUUAAAAAUCUAAAUUAUUUAGUAUAUUCACUUUUGAUUAUCAUUAACCUUAUGAUUUAAUAAUAAAUAUGGUUAUAAAUUAAUUAUUAGCUAUUUAUAAAUACUUUAAUCAAACACGUAACUUUGUAAAAAUUUUAA
rnacentral:misc_RNA from 1 species